rnacentral:rRNA from 1 species
AUUGAACGCUGGCGGCAUGCCUUACACAUGCAAGUCGAACGGCAGCACGGGUGCUUGCACCUGGUGGCGAGUGGCGAACGGGUGAGUAAUAUAUCGGAACAUACCCUAGAGUGGGGGGAUAACGUAGCGAAAGUUACGCUAAUACCGCAUACGAACUAAGGUUGAAAGUGGGGGAUCGCAAGACCUCAUGCUCAUGGAGUGGCCGAUAUCUGAUUAGUUAGUUGGUGAGGUAAAGGCUCACCAAGGCGACGAUCAGUAGCUGGUUUGAGAGAACGACCAGCCACACUGGAACUGAGACACGGUCCAGACUCCUACGGGAGGCAGCAGUGGGGAAUUUUGGACAAUGGGGGCAACCCUGAUCCAGCAAUGCCGCGUGAGUGAAGAAGGCCCUCGGGUUGUAAAGCUCUUUUUGUCAGGGGAAGAAACGGGUCUACUCUAAUACAGUGGGCUAAUGACGGUACCUGAAGAAUAAGCACCGGCUAACUACGUGCCAGCAGCCGCGGUAAUC